GAUGAACGCUGGCGGCGUGCCUAAUACAUGCAAGUCGAGCGAACAGACGAGGAGCUUGCUCCUCUGACGUUAGCGGCGGACGGGUGAGUAACACGUGGAUAACCUACCUAUAAGACUGGGAUAACUUCGGGAAACCGGAGCUAAUACCGGAUAAUAUAUUGAACCGCAUGGUUCAAUAGUGAAAGACGGUGUUGCUGUCACUUAUAGAUGGAUCCGCGCCGCAUUAGCUAGUUGGUAAGGUAACGGCUUACCAAGGCAACGAUGCGUAGCCGACCUGAGAGGGUGAUCGGCCACACUGGAACUUGGCCACGGUCCAGACGCCUACGGGAGGCAGCAGUAGGGAAUCUUCCGCAAUGGGCGAAAGCCUGACGGAGCAACGCCGCGUGAGUGAUGAAGGUCUUCGGAUCGUAAAACUCUGUUAUUAGUGAAGAACAAAUGUGUAAGUAACUAUGCACGUCUUGACGGUACCUAAUCAGAAAGCCACGGCUAACUACGUG
rnacentral:rRNA from 1 species